AGUUAACAGAGAUAUGGCAUGAACAUGUAUUAGAAAAAUGAUUCACACACAAUAGAAAAAUUAAGUAAGAUCAGGAUUGGGUGGCUUUGGAGAAUCUAAUUUCAACUUGAAUAUGAAGAUGCUUGUAGAACAGUGUUCCUUCCUCUGAACAUGGCUACAGAAGAACAAAUCAGUUAGUCUGAAGAUGAAAACAAGAAGCUGAUGGUAGACACAUUCUGAACUGGCUAACACAACACUCUGAAACUGGAGGAUAUCAACUGAUAAGAUAUGAAGUUCUCCCUUAGUUUCAAAUACACUGGGUUCAUAAAUUAUUAACAUAAACAAUGGAUGUCCCGUCAAGCUACCACGAAGACAGCUAGGUCUGCACAACUCCUCAAGUGUCGACCCCUCCAAGUACAUCCUCCACCUGGAACU